ACGGUGUUCCGCUGCCGUGUUUGCGCGGGUAUGAGCAUUUG
rfam:Domibacillus enclensis strain NIO-1016 genome assembly, contig: Ga0061089_103